AAAUUUCUUGUUUCUAGAUAUAGAUAGAUUUGAAAUCUUUAGUUAAACUACUGUAGAAUAUGUCAGCAACUGUAUAUUGUAGGAUAAUGAAAGCCAAGACAUGAAAUAUACAUUACAUAUAUAUGUUUUAAACAGUACACACAAAAAAACACCAAAUUAGUUGUCAUUGAUUUUAAUUUUUGGAAUUCAGGUAUAAUUUAGGUCAAUACAUACUCGUGAAGUAUGGUGUUAAUUCACUCCCAGCUCUCGUAAGUACCAAGUUGGUUACAGUUUAUUUUUAUAAUUCUUUAUUUUUGUUGCAUUGCAUUUUUUUACCACAUAAGACACUACAGUUGGCUUAUUUGAAAGUAACUUCUAUACCUUUUUGAAUAAAAAUGUUUAGAUAUAUGCUUUGUGAAAAUACCACAAAUUAAACCAUGUUGCCAAAAGUUGCCAAAUGUUGAGUUUAAUCUUAAAAGCCUAAAGUUAUAUUAUCGCUAUUUUGUUCAUUUUUCCUUUGAUGUUCAGAACUGUAAAGGUUCAUAUCACAGCUUUUCUCACUUUAGGCGUAAAUGGUUCGAGCUAGAAAAUCAAUCUCAUGAAGAAGACCAGCAAUAAUAUAUAUUUAUCAAACUGGUACAAGUUGCUGUUCAUAGAUCUUUAUUUGAAUUCUUCACAGCUCAAAGAGUCAGAUGUAUACAGGAAUACACAUGAUGUUGUUUUGAAAUAGUAUCAAAAUCUCCCUUUUCAUCCUUAUAAGCAAGCAAACAUGUAAUAUAUUUUAUCUUGGUUUUUCAUGUCGUUGACUGGCCUUGGGUGCAAUAUUUCUCAGAUUGUAAAAAAGGGCCAGUAAUGUGUGGAAAAUUGAUGACAUCCGGUAUACAAUUACUGAGAAAGAUGUUGUUAAAAGAUUGGCAGCACCACAUAUCCAGAUGUGUGGGCGCUGCCUUUGUUACACAUUCGUUGAUUUGUAGGAUGGGCAGUGAAGACACAGUUUUGAUUUUGAAAACAAAUAAAUCUAUGGAAUAUU